rnacentral:rRNA from 1 species
UACGUAGGGUGCAAGCGUUGCUCGGAAUUACUGGGCGUAAAGGGCGCGUAGGCGGGCUCGUAUGUCGAUUGUGAAAGCCCUGGGCUACCCGGGAAUGGCAGUCGAAACUGCGAGUCUUGAAUGCUUGAGAGGAUGGCGGAAUUCCCGGUGUAGAAGUGAAAUUCGUAGAUAUCGGGAAGAACACCUGAGGCGAAGGCGGCUAUCUGGCGAUGCAUUGACGCUGAGGCGCGAAAGCGUGGGGAGCAAACAGG